rnacentral:rRNA from 1 species
AACGAACGCUGGCGGCGUGGAUUAGGCAUGCAAGUCGAGCGAGAAAGCAUCCGUUCGGGGUGUGAGUACAGCGGCGAACUGGUGAGUAACAGGUGGGUAACGUGCCCUGAAGUGGGGGAUAACCCGGGGAAACCCGGACUAAUACCGCAUGUGACCUUGAAGGCUUCGGCCAGACAGGUUAAAGACUUCGGUCGCUUCAGGAUCGGCCCGUCCCCGAUUAGCUAGUUGGUGAGGUAAUGGCUCACCAAGGCAUUGAUCGGUAGCUGGUCUGAGAGGAUGGUCAGCCACACUGGGACUGAGAUACGGCCCAGACUCCUACGGGGGGCAGCAGUCUAGAGGCUUCGUCAAUGGGGGAAACCCUGAACGAGCGACGCCGCGUGCGGGAUUGAAGGCCUUCGGGUCGUAAACCGCUGUCAAGUGGGAAGAAUGCCCUGAUGGUGAAUCAGGGAGUGACGGUACCACUGAAGGAAGCCCCGGCUAACUCCGUG